rnacentral:rRNA from 1 species
UGAGGAAUAUUGGGCAAUGCCCGCAAGGGUGACCCAGCAACGCCGCGUGGAGGAUGAAUGUCGUAAGAUUGUAAACUCCUGUUAGAGGGGAAGAAUAGUACCGGUUGGACCGGUAUAUGACUGUACCCUCAGAGAAAGCCCCGGCUAACUACGUGCCAGCAGCCGCGGUAAUACGUAGGGGGCAAUCGUUGUCCGGAUUUACUGGGUGUAAAGGGCGCGCAGGCGGGAUAAAAAGUCAGUGGUGAAAUCCUACAGCUUAACUGUAGAACUGCCUUUGAUACUUUUAUUCUUGAGUGCGGGAUGGNGAGACGGAAUUCCAGGUGUAGUGGUGAAAUACGUAGAUAUCUGGAAGAACACCAGUUGCGAAGGCGGUCUCUUGGUCCGACACUGACGCUGAGGCGCGAAAGCGUGGGGAGCAAACA